rnacentral:snoRNA from 1 species
GUGCUGUGAUGACCUCCAUCUUGGUUUCGCUUAUUGCCGAAUUCCAAUGAUGACACAUUCUCUUGGCUGUCUGAGCAU